rnacentral:misc_RNA from 1 species
CAGGACUCGCAAGACUCCUACAACCCUGUGAACUUAACUAUAAGCACGUUGCUUCGGCGGGUGUCUCGGCGAGGGUCCUCCCUCCCCGGGGCGCUAAGCCCGCCGGCAGCCUACUAUACUCUGUCUCUUUGCGUUGGCAUCUCGAGUACAAUCAAACAAGUCA